rnacentral:rRNA from 1 species
CAGUCGCCGCGGGAAUACGGAGGGGGCUAGCGUUGUUCGGAAUUACUGGGCGUAAAGCGCACGUAGGCGGCUUGGUAAGUUAGAGGUGAAAGCCUGGAGCUCAACUCCAGAAUUGCCUUUAAGACUGCCGAGCUAGCAGGUGAGAGAGGUAAGUGGAAUUCCGAGUGUAGAGGUGAAAUUCGUAGAUAUUUGGAAGAACACCAGUGGCGAAGGCGGCUUACUGGACAAGUAUUGACGCUGAGGUGCGAAAGCGUGGGGAGCAAACAGGAUUAGAUACCCCUGUAGUCCCUGUCUCUUAUAC